rnacentral:lncRNA from 1 species
GGGGGCAAUUCUAAGUGUGUAUCAUUAUUCCCAUGUUACAGGUGAAUGAUCCAUAAACCUGGGUGUCUUCCUCAACUAGAACCUUUCGCAGGGACACCUAGAUUGAUGGCAGGGGCCAGGCUGUGCCACCACAGGGGAUGGAGGACAUACCAGCCUGGAGCAGAGCUGUUUUCCACUAUGGCAACCACGGGCCUCACGUGGGUUCUGAGAAUUCAGAAUAUGGCCAGACUGAAUUGAGAAUGUGUGAGGCACAUCGUAUUACAAAGACUCAGCAUGAAAAAAACGAAUGUAAAAUGGCUCAUUGGUAAUUUCUUAUAUUGAUUACAUGUUGAAAUGAUAGUAUUUUUGAUCUACUGGAU